rnacentral:tRNA from 1 species
GGCUGGAUAACAUAAUUGGUAAUGUACAAGAUUGCAAAUUUUGUAAUGUCGGUUCAAAUCCGUCUCUAGCUU